GAUAAGCACGGGUAGGGUUCUUUGCGGGUUCUGAUCUGCAAUAUUUAUUGUUAACAAGAGAGAACUGCAGCUUGCUGAAGAGCAGAACUCGGUUGUUCCCCCCCUUCCAGUUCGGUGAAUUUGUAACCUUGGGAUAUCGGUUCACCGUAAACGAGAUCAGCUUAGCGGAUCUGGGCGCGUAGAAGUGCCGGCGGUCAGCACCAGAGCAGAAAGACUGCAUUCACCCAAAAAAUAAUAAUCAUGUUCUUUUGAAUGAUAAGUAACCGGAAACAGGAUCAUAACACAAUUAAAAUGUUGAACCUUCGCUCCACCUUAAGAAGGCGGUCGGCAGUGCGAUCGGAGCGCCGCCCUGUAGCAUGGAAUCAUGGAGUGGCUCUUCUCUGAUUGGUAAACUAUUUUCAGACCAAGCAGGAUAUUUGUAGCUUGAAAGCCGCUAAGGGCCAAAACAUUGCGGUGCUUCAAAGAUAAGGAUUUAACUCCUUUCUUGCAGAGAAAUUCCGCAGCGGGAUAAACCUCUCCUCUUUUUUAUAAAGCUGUUUACGACAUGGAAGAAAGCAAAACACCGAAUACUGAAGCAGCAAGAGGUUGUCACGGCAUUGUUGGAGAACUUGCAAGAAACUGGCAGAGCUGGUCCAAGGAUCAUGUGGCUUAUCAGCAACAAAACCCAUUUAGCAAUGGCAACCAAGUAACCUUACGCACUGAGAGAGGGGAUCCUGCUUAUGGGAGACCACCUGAAGGCUCCAAAACUGAGCAGAGAGGAAAAGAUGCACACACACUUAUGGGCAAAGAAGUGGAAGAACUAUGCUUAAUUAUACGUAACACUGGAAAGAGGGAACAGGAUGGGCGAGUGAAAAUAACAUUUAAACAGCUCUUUAAUAGGUAUGUGACUAUAUCCAAUAAACUAGUAGGUGUCCUCUUAAGAGCAAGGAAGCAUGGCCUGGUUGACUUUGAAGGUGAAAUGCUUUGGCAAGGAAAAGAUGAUAAUGUAGUUAUCACUUUGUUUGAAUAAUAUAAGGAUUAUCCAGCUAUUUCAUGAUUAAUACAGAAAUGUGUUAAAGCUCUUGAAACAUGAAGGUGACUGACUGGCUUAGAACAUAGGGAAUCAAUUGACAUACUGGAAAUAAGUUUUAAAAUACUUGGUCAUUAUGCAACAAGAAAUAUGUACUUAUUAAAGGAAUUUAGUGAACAUACUGUACAUGGUUUAAAACAACUCAAUACAUUUCAUGAGAUUUGUUGUUCAAAUUGCAAAUGCUAAUGAAAAAAUUAGGAUCACAGAUAUGAGUAAGAGGGUGAAAUGCUUGAAAUUAGUAAUAAUAUUUUCCACUAUAUUAUAAAUUUCAUAUUUAAGAGCUGGUAACUUCGAAUGUAUAUGCUGAGGAAAAGUCUUUGCUUUAGUAGUAUACUAGUAUAUGGAUUAUAAAUAUGACUGACCCUGAAUUGGAAUUUUUUGAAGAAAUCUAGUAACCCACAUAAUCAAUAUUUUGAAAUUCAGGUGUAUCCAAAAAUAUUCAAGAGGUCUAUCGGUAACAAUUUUAUUAAAGGUUUCCUUUUUAUAACACA